GCACCAGCAGCAUCAGACGCAGCAGAAGCCGCAGCUGGCAGUCAGACGUCUGAACCGGUGGAAUAAUUACGCGCAGAACUUCGCUCUGCUGCGGUGAUAAAUUUGGACAGACUAUUUUAGCUUCCUUAUAUAUUUUAAUCUUAAUGGAUUAAAAAAAAUCAUUUUUUAUUAGUAUUUCCGCCCCUGUCUCCUCUUGGGUCAUUGUUCCACUGCUCUCCCCCAAACGAAAGAACCUUGUUUUUAAUUAUGUAUUUCGAGUUUCCUAGGGCUCUUAGCUCUUACCUAGGUGGUGUUGUUGGCAACACACUUUUUUUUUCUUCUAAACCUCAGCUGGUGACAUACAUUUGGCGUUGUCGGCAGGAUCAGCGUCUAAAAAAGGUGCCAUUGGAACCGCAAGAACUGUGGUAACGGUUCCCCCAGGUGUCCAUGUCCACAGGCAGAGCAUCUGCUAGGGUCAACCUUACCACUGCUAGACUCGACCAAGAGGACUGAGUGGCACCACUAUCCAGCGAUUGGGGAAACUGGCAACAAGAUGACUCAGACAUUGCCAUCAUCAAGAGGUAUGAGGGCCAGAGAAGAGGGCUACGACCGAUAAGACCAGAAGGAUCCUCCAACAAUGGAAGAAAUUGAUUGUCCGAGAGCAGGUGCUCUACCGAGAGUGUCUUCAGAGCCCCGCCCAGUGCCACACUUUCCUCCAUUGACACAGCUGUAUCUCAUCGUCCCAUUAAACCAGCUGACAUAAAUACUCCGGCUUUCCUUGCCCCAGCUCGUCGAACCUCGGAGAUUCACCUGGCCGAAGAGGUAGCCAGUUAGUUCCACGGAGGUCAGCUGAGCACCUACAUACUCCUGCGUCGAGCCUCGGGUGUCACGCAGUCAAGUUCCUCUGCCUGUCACUCACCAUUGACUUGUGUUUUCGUCUUGCCUUUGUUUUUUCCCUGCCGGAGAAAAUAAAUAACCCCUGUUGGAGAAAGAGAAACCUUGGUGGUCCUGCGUGUUGCAUCUGGGCCCGUUUGCACAUCAUAACAGAUCGUCUACAUCCAACGUCAACUACCAGCACCUCGGUUUUUCCCAGAGCCCCCCCCCCCCGUUUUAGCAUAUUUAUCUUCUAACUAUAUGUUCCUCCCCCGAAGAUGAAAAACGUUUUGAGUUACCUUGUGCAUGACUUGUAUAUGUGUCAACUCUGUCUCCUGUUUGCAAACA
ensembl:lncRNA